CACAGUGGCAUCGAUCAAAGUACAUUGAGUAAUAAUAACAAGUGAAACAGGAGCAGAAUGUAGCGCUUCGCGUGAGAGCAAAUGAGGACGAGACAUAACACAGUGGCCCCCACCCUGGCGUGUGUUGUGUUAAGAUAGCAGUCCCGGUGCUGGAGAAGAAGAGGGGGCCCAAAAAAGAGGAUAAAGAUGAAGG